rnacentral:rRNA from 1 species
UACGUAGGCAGCGAGCGUUGUUCGGAGUUACUGGGCGUAAAGGGUGUGUAGGCGGUUCUUUAAGUUUGGUGUGAAAUCUCCCGGCUCAACCGGGAGGGUGCGCCGAAUACUGAGGGACUUGGAGUAUGGGAUGGGAAAGUGGAAUUCCUGGUGUAGCAGUGAAAUGCGUAGAUAUCAGGAGGAACACCUGUGGUGUAGACGGCUUUCUGGACCAUAACUGACGCUGAGACACGAAAGCGUGGGUAGCAAACAGG